rnacentral:tRNA from 1 species
AAGAUAGCCGAUAACUAACUUUUAGCUAGUUCAAAUCUAGCUCUAUCUUU